AUGAGCUGCACCAUUGAGAAAGCACUUGCUGUCGCUAAAGCCCUUGUUGAAAGAUUGAGAGAUCAUGAUGAUGCAGCGGAGUCUCUCAUCGAGCAGACCACUGCCCUCAGCAAGCGAGUGGAAGCGAUGAAGCAGUAUCAGGAAGAAAUCCAAGAACUUAAUGAAGUAGCAAGAUAUCAGCCACGAUCCACACUAGUUAUGGGAAUCCAACAAGAAAACAGACAAAUCAGAGAAUUAACAACAAGAGAACAAAGAACUGCGGACAUCCCUGGAAGAGCACCAGUCUGCCCUGGAACUGAUAAUGAGCAAGUACCGAGAGCAGAUGUUCAGACUGCUCAUGGCCAGCAAGAAAGAUGACCCAGGUAUAAUAAUGAAGUUAAUAGAGCAGCACUCAAAGGAGUUGCAAGCACAUGUUGACCAAAUCACCGAGAUGGCAGCAGUAAUGAGAAAAGAUAUUGAAAUUGACGAGCAACAGGGUUGCAAGGAACAGGAGCGGGAUAUUUCAACUUGAACAAGAAAAUAAAGGCUUGAGAGAGACCCUUCAGAUAACUUGAGAAUCCUUUUUAAACCUUCGGAAGGAUGAUGCGUCAGAGAGUACAUCUCUGUCCCCCUUAGUGACUAACAGUGACCUGAGUCUGAGGAAG
rnacentral:lncRNA from 1 species